CCCAGACAGCCAGGAUGUUGGCUUAGAAGCAGCCAUCAUUUAAAGAAAGCGUAAUAGCUCACUGGUCGAGUCGGCCUGCGCGGAAGAUGUAACGGGGCUAAACCAUGCACCGAAGCUGCGGCAGCGACACUCAGGUGUUGUUGGGUAGGGGAGCGUUCUGUAAGCCUGUGAAGGUGGCCUGUGAGGGUUGCUGGAGGUAUCAGAAGUGCGAAUGCUGACAUAAGUAACGAUAAAGCGGGUGAAAAGCCCGCUCGCCGGAAGACCAAGGGUUCCUGUCCAACGUUAAUCGGGGCAGG
rnacentral:rRNA from 3 species